rnacentral:lncRNA from 10 species
CGUCCGGCCCGCCCGCAGGCCAGCUUCUCUCGGGAGCCUCCACCCAGGCGCAUGGCUCCAUGAAGCAAGAGGAGGAGGCAGAGCGCGAGAGAUCCCGUCCGCCCCAGCCGCGUCUGGGCCAGGAGAAAAGCAAAACCAUAUUCCUGCUGCUGUCAGUUUUGAUGCACUGAGAAAACUUCAGAGACCUAAGCUUUUUCCAGAGAAGAGAAGCUUUACUGGUGUUCCAGCCCUAAGAAACUUAAAUCCUCAGUGUGACACAACUCAGUCCUUCUACUGCAGCAGCUCUUUUAUAAAAGCCUCCCAAAGCUCCAAGAAGGAACAAAGAAUGUGACCCAGUAAGCUCACACCAUAAGUCUAUAUUGCAGAAACCUUUGUUCAACAAAACUGCAGAUGCUCUGUUGAAUCCACUGGAGAUUGUCCUGAUACUAAGGACAAGUAUGCUCAUAUGACAUUAACAGACAAGACACUUUUCAGAAAGACAGGUAAGUCAUUUGUUAAAAUCUCACUACUGUUGUUUAACAGAAACAUAUAUAUGCAUGUAUAUGUGUGUACUGUAUGGAAAAAGUGGAAUUAGAGUUUAUCUAGAAAAGAAAAAAUUACCUCAUCUAAGUGCAGAAAUGAAUAAUACUUAAACCAUACCAUACAAUUCUCUAUCAUAUUUCCACAGAUAAGUCAAAAAUUUAAAAAAUCUUAUUGUUCAUGCAUAAAUGCAGAAAACAAUAUCUCUAGUAUAUGUUUGUGUUCUAUUGUACUUUCACAGAAGGUGUUUGAUACUUAAUACUGUGUUUAUUAAGAAAAAUCUUUGCAAUGGUUAUGGAAUUAAAAUUUCAUGUAAAAAUGAUUAUGUAGAUCAAGAAAAGUUGCAAUUUUCUGGAUUCCUGAUAUUUUAAAUAAAAGUAGUUUCCAAAGGC